GACGGGGGGGGCAAGUGUUCUUCGGAAUUACUGGGCGUAAAGGGCUCGUAGGUGGCCAACUAAGUCAUACGUGAAAUCCCUCGGCUUAACCGGGGAACUGCGUCUGAUACUGGAUGGCUUGAGAUUGGGAGAGGGAUGCGGAAUUCCAGGUGUAGCGGUGAAAUGCGUAGAUAUCUGGAGGAACACCGGUGGCGAAGGCGGCAUCCUGGACCAACACUGACACUGAGGAGCGAAAGCCAGGGGAGCAAACGGG
rnacentral:rRNA from 1 species